GACGAACGCUGGCGGCGUGCUUAACACAUGCAAGUCGAACGGAAAGGCCCUGCUUUUGUGGGGUGCUCGAGUGGCGAACGGGUGAGUAACACGUGAGUAACCUGCCCUUGACUUUGGGAUAACUUCAGGAAACUGGGGCUAAUACCGGAUAGGAGCUCCUGCUGCAUGGUGGGGGUUGGAAAGUUUCGGCGGUUGGGGAUGGACUCGCGGCUUAUCAGCUUGUUGGUGGGGUAGUGGCUUACCAAGGCUUUGACGGGUAGCCGGCCUGAGAGGGUGACCGGCCACAUUGGGACUGAGAUACGGCCCAGACUCCUACGGGGGGCAGCAGUGGGGGAUAGUGCACACUGGGCGGAAGCCGUAUGCAGCAUCGCCGCGUGCUGGAUGACGGCCUUCGGGUUGUAAACCGCUUUCGCCUGUGACGAAGCGUGAGUGACGGUAAUGUGUAAAGAAGCACCGGCUAACUACGUG
rnacentral:rRNA from 1 species